rnacentral:rRNA from 1 species
UACGUAGGGCGCAAGCGUUGUCCGGAAUUAUUGGGCGUAAAGCGCUCGUAGGCGGCUUGUCACGUCGGAUGUGAAAGCCCGGGGCUUAACUCCGGGUCUGCAUUCGAUACGGGCUGGCUAGAGUGUGGUAGGGGAGAUCGGAAUUCCUGGUGUAGCGGUGAAAUGCGCAGAUAUCAGGAGGAACACCAGUGGCGAAGGCGGCUCACUGGCUCAUACUGGACGCUGAGGUGCGAAAGCGUGGGGAGCAAACAGG